UCGACGACAUAUUGGUAAAAGGUGCCAAAACUUCUGAUCAUGUUCAAAACUUAGAAGUAAUCUUUGACACACUUUGAUGAUAUCGGAUGAAGCUAAAUUCGACUAAGUGUGCAUUCAGAAUGUGCUAAAAAAAUUUUUGAAUUUUUUGUAUCGCAACGAGAAAUCAAGGUUAACCCGAAGAAGGUAAAGGCCAUCAUCAAUAUGAAGCAUCUUAGCCCCA
rnacentral:lncRNA from 1 species